UACGAAGGGGCUAGCGUUGCUCGGAAUCACUGGGCGUAAAGCGCACGUAGGCGGAUCUUUAAGUCAGGGGUGAAAUCCUGGAGCUCAACUCCAGAACUGCCUUUGAUACUGGGGAUCUCGAGUCCGGGAGAGGUGAGUGGAACUGCGAGUGUAGAGGUGAAAUUCGUAGAUAUUCGCAAGAACACCAGUGGCGAAGGCGGCUCACUGGACCGGUAUUGACGCUGAGGUGCGAAAGCGUGGGGAGCAACAGG
rnacentral:rRNA from 1 species